GACGAACCGUGCGAACGUUAUUCGGAAUCACUGGGCUUAAAGCGCGUGUAGGCGGGAUGGCACGUCGGUCGCUGAAAGCCCCCGGCUCAACCGGGGAAGUGGCGCCGAUACGACCACCCUGGAGGGACGUAGGGGGACCUGGAACUUCCGGUGGAGCGGUGAAAUGCGUAGAGAUCGGAAAGAACACCAACGGCGAAAGCACUCUGCUGGGCCGACACUGACACUGAGAGACGAAAGCUAGGGGAGCGAAUGGG
rnacentral:rRNA from 1 species